rnacentral:lncRNA from 1 species
CAUUCAGAACCAAUACACAAAUUGGCACAUCAAUAAUAUUCUCAUUCAUCCAUAUCAAAUGUGUACAUAUAUAGUCAUGUCACUAGCUUAAGAUGCUUGCCAUCAAGCCAACAUACAAGCAUGCAUAUAGCAGCUGAAAAUAAAAUCUAGCUAAGUCAUCCAAAAUUGAUCCAACAUUGAUCAAAAAAUAUGACCAUCAUAUAAGACAUUGUGUAUUCUUCAACAAGCAGGUCCAAUUUCACAAUGCAUUAUAUCCUCUCAAGCACAACAAUCUGUAAAUUUGAGAAAUUACUACUAUUAGUAUAGUACUUGAAGGCUCAAGCAGUCAAGCAUUCUAGCCUACUUCUCCCAUGUUAGUCUGAACAUUGACAAUUGCACAAGAACACGGCUGUUGUCCUACAGUGCGACAUAGAAAGAAAAAACAAAAGAAAAUGCAGGAGAAAUAAACCUGAAAAAUCCUCUGCAUUACUAGAAUCAGUUCAUGACAACGAAAAGGACACAUCAUGUGGCAAUUAGCAAAACUGCUACAACGAUAACUCAUCAAAACCAAAUGGAGACAAGUAAUCACCUAUCCAGUAUGCAAUAAGGCUGUUGUACAACACAUAUAUGCAAUAUAGGAUGCACCAUAGCAUGAAACUGAAAUUCUAGACUGAAAGCAAAAGAACUGCAAUGGUUUGUACAUGUACAGACUAGAGCAUAGUCAAAAUGAGCAUAUUGUGAGUCCUAGUCAUCAUUAGCAAUUCUUCAGGAUAUGACUCGUAUGGAACAGACAACAUAUGCCAACAUGCUUCCUCCAGUCCUACAGAAGCUAGCAUUUUUUCCCCACCCAGCCACCCAGGCACAACUUGCGAAUCGGAGCAACACUAGAACUACAGCGACAGCGAAGCAUGGCCUGCCUAGCCACUAACACCCUUUCAAAUACUAAAUGGUACUAAUCAGAGUUCAGAGAUGCCUUAGUGCUGCUCACCUGCCGCCAUGUUUAGCCUUGAAGAACAGCAGGACGGAGGGAAGCCGGAAGUGCUCAACACUUGGGACCUGGAUCCGCGCUCACGGACGCCCGUUGCACGCCUGCCGCACGCCGGAUCCGUGCCCGCCGGAUCCACGCCCGCUGCGGACGUGGAGCUUGCUGGGAGCAGGAGCGUCACGCCGCCGGUAGCUGGCCGACUCGCUGCGGACGUUCGUCAUCCCAUGGCUUGCCGCGGCCGCCCUCUGCUCGCCGCGGUUGCGCGCGCAAAGCCAUGUCCCGUGAAGCGCAAGCCCGAGGCCGAGACCUGCCAGUGCCAGCCAGUAGGAGCACCGCACCGCCGGGAGCAGGAGCGCCGCACCUCCAGCCGCCGGGAGCAAGAGCGCCGCCGCCAGAAAUAAAACGAGCAGGGGAAAAUUUUCCGGCGGCGGGCGAGCGCGCACGCGGCGGGCGGGCGUGCGCGCGGCCAGGGGACGCGCGCGGCGGCGGGCGGGCAGGCGCGCGGCGGCGGCAGGCGGCCGUGCGGGCGCGCGCGGCCGGCUGGGCGCGGGGCGGCGGGCGGCGCGGCGGCGCGGCGCGUGCGUGCGUGGUGUGGGUGCGUGCGUGCGUGCGCGGCCGGCUGAGUGCGUGGGGUGGGGAGCGGCUGAGCGUUUCCUUUUUUUAACUGAAACACGCACUUCACCGAGUGCCAGAUCGGCGGCACUUGGCGAAGAGGGGGUGGGGACGGCUUCGCCGAGUGCCAGAUCGGCGGCACUCGGCGAAGAGGGCGCAUGGGUCCGCUUACCUGUUCAAACGUACGUAUACACUUCGCCAAGUGCCACGUGGCAGGCACUUGGCGAAGGGGUCUUCUCCAAGUGCCGGCCACGUGGCACUCGGCGAAGAUGGAGAGGGAGCGUGGGCCGGCUGCGGCCUUUUGCAUGGCACACCUCUUCGCCGAGUGCCAUCUGGCCGGCACUCGGCGAAGGCCUCUUCGCCAAGUGCCAACCCUAACACUUGGCGAAGUCAAAAAAUUUUUUUUGAGUUUUGCUCCCAAAUUUUUUGUGGAGGUUUAGUACCCUAUCUUUAGUAAGUUGUCAAGGUUUGGUGCAUUUUGAAGUUUUUUUUCUAUAUUUCUUUAUUUAAUUGCGACUCGUUGCAUUUUUUCCGACGAAUUUGAUUUGAACUGCAGGUGCAUGGAAUAAUAGUGUCCUAUGGUUACAAAACUGCUAUUCUUGCUUGUGUGCGUGGAAUUAGGUCAAAUCCAUGUCCUGGCGCCAAAUCUCGAUGAGCGUGCUCGCAGGGCAACGCUUCCAACUUGCCUGCGCGCGGUUUUUUAAUUAUAAAAAACUCAAAUGACCUCGAAAAUCCACGAAACUUCUCCACCUGCCUUGAUAUGGUAUGGGAAGGCUAUGGUAAAAAUUUGAAAAAAUUUGGAAUAAGUUUGCACGUCGGACAUUCACAAACCCAACAUCUCCGCAUAUGAUCACAUGUAAUCAUAUGAGGAGAUCUUGCUCCAAACUUUUUCAAAUUUUUAUCAUAGCCUUCCCAUACCAUAUCAAGGACGGUGGACAAGUUUCGUGGUUUUCCGAGUUCAUUUGAUUUUUUUUAUAAUUAAAAAACCCCGCGCACGCAAGUUGGAAGCGUUGCCGCGCGAGCACGCUCAUCGAGAUUUGGUGCCAGGACAUGGAUUUGACCUAAUUGCAUCCACACAAGCAAGAAUAGCAAUGUUGUAACCAUAGGACACUAUUAUUCCAUGCACCUGCAGUUCAAAUCGAAAUCGUCGGAAAAAAUACAACGAGUCGCAAUUAAAUGAAAAAAUAUAGAAAAAAAUUUCAAAGUGCACCAAACCUUGGCAAGUUACUAAAGAUAGGGUACUAAAGCUCCACAAAAAAUUUGGGAGCAAAACUCAAAAAAAAAUUUGACUUCGCCAAGUGCAAGGGUUGGCACUUGGCGAAGAGGGCUUCCAGGCAAUUUUCCAGGGUCCUCUCUUCGCCAAGUGCCACGUGUCUGCCACUCGGCGAAGCCUCCUCUUCGCUAAGUGCCAGACGGAGGCACUUGGCGAAGCCGACGGCAAGAGAUGGGGAUGGAUGCCGUCAGGCCUCGCCGAGUGCCGUUCUUCGCCGAGUGCCCGCCGAGUGCUUGGCACUUGGCGAAGCCUUCUUCGCCGAGUGCUGGCUUCGCCAAGUGUCAGGCACUUGGCGAAGCCUUCUUCGUCAAGUGUCCGAUUUUUGGCAUUCGGUGAAGUCUGGAGCACUUGGCGAAGCCUGAGUUUCCUGUAGUGCUAUUUCAGUAUAAUAAGCAUCCAUCCAUGCAUUUAUAUGAUUUCAGUUUCCUGCAUCCUCGUUGGUCGAUCUAUACCCGCUAGUUUCUUAUUUUAUAUUCUUUAUAUGAACCAGGUAGCACAUUGUAUCUUGAGGAAGCUACGUCUGCAUUUGUCGGCCCACGUGUCCAUGGUUCAUACAUGCGAUGACCACGAAACAUUCAGUGACCGGUGAUCAAAAGCAAGCUGAGAUAUAAAUACUAGUUGUAAAAUAAUAUACUCCUAAAUAAUGUAUGAACCGUUCCUCAUGUCUAUGGAAAGGUAUAUAUUCAUAUACAUAUAUCAUUCGUCAAAAAAGUAUGCACAUAUACUAAGCAUACUUUCGUAUAUAUAUGUAUACUCAUUUGUCAAAAAAGUAUGUACAUAUACUAAACAUACUUCGUUGUAUCUUUUUAUACAUAUACCCAUUUGCCAAAAAAAAGUAUCUACAUGUACAUUCUAGAUAGGGUAUGUACUAAUACUAGCUCCUGUCAAAAGUCUGUAUGCAUACUAGUAUACUCAUAUCAAUGUUUAUGUACUACUCAUGUAAAAAAAAGUAUGUCCACAUCUAGCAUACUAUUUUUUCUCCUAAAAACAGUUCGUAUACUCUAUAAUAAAAUCCCAUUCGUAUAUGGACAUACUCCCAAAUAUACGCUCAAGUAUAUGGAUAUACUAAAAUUCCAUGAGUAUAUGGAUAUACUAAUAUAAUCCUCGAAGUAUAUGGAUAUACUCCCAAGUAUAAGUGUACAAAUUUUCUUAUUAGUGUCCAUACUUUAUUUACACAAAAGUAUAUACGUCAGUAAAGAAUUUAGUAUCCAUUUUAUUUUAUUUGAAAGAAGCAACAAACAUACGCCACAAAAUAUGGACGUGUAACGUCUUGUGGCUCUUCGUCCCCAUGCAAGCGGGCACAACAAUUGCCCAAAAGUGCAGGAGUAUUUAACGGGUUUUGAGAGUGGGCAUAUACUCAAUAAAUACAGUGGGAGUAACUACUCUUGGGAGUAUAGAAAACUCACCCUAUAUAUAUAUAUAUAUAUAUAUAUAUAUAUAUAUAUAUAUAUAUAUAUAUAUAUAUAUAUAUAUAUAUAUAUAUACUUUUGUUAAUUGUUAAUUAAAAUUCCGUAUGGCUUGCCUUUCAUGGCUCGUAAAUGUAGCCAUUUAAUUAGAUUGGAUACCCAGCCCUUAAUCACGAUGCUUUCUUAUUGCUCCAUUGGGUGAACGAUCUUUGGACGGAGAAGAGCUCGACGAGGCUCUGCACCUGUGUGGGCAGUCCGCAGACCGCUGAGGCAGCGCACGUAGUCGGAGUCUCAUCGAGGAGGCAGCCGCCGGAUCGCGUCGGCCAUGGACGGCUCCCCAGACUGCCUCGGAGGCGGGUCCCGGCCCACCGGAGGCGGCGGCGGUGCUGACUCCAUCGUUUAGUAUGGCGUUGCGGUUUCGGCAUCCACGUAAGGGGUCAGCAGGAGCAGGCAACAGAUGUAAGUAGCCGCAAACGUCAACGAUGGUCAGGUGCGCGCCCUCUCCAUGUGAUUGAGCUUGCAUGUUUAGGCAGGUCCAUACCGCACGGAGGAGGCGCGGCCGCCGGCCUCGACGUUCGCAUCCACCAUCUCCCCGCGCGUUAAGCCCUCGACGGACCAUGCGGGCUCCGUGGAGUUCAAAGUCGUGCAGCUGCACGCGGCGCCACAUGUCAGGGCCGCCGUCUCAACCGAGCCUGGUGGGUCACGCUCGUACUCGACCUGUUCUGCACCCUGGUCGACGUGGCCUGCGAGCUCGUAGUGCCGACGUAUGUGUACCUCAACUGCAACACCACGGUGCCUUCCUUCUUCCUCUGCACCUGCCGGCGCUAUAUAUGUGAGGAGGUGGUCGGCGAGUUCGAGGUGAUGGAUGGCGCGGCGCACAUCUCUAGGCUGCCCCAGUGCCGCCGCUCUCGCUUGUGACGCCGAUCAUGGAAAGGAAGAAGCACGAAUGUGCGUGGUACACAUACCAUGACAAGCAUUUCAUGGAUGACAUCGGCAUCAUGGCCGAUCGAGCUCGAGCGGGGGCGUCCUCUCCGCCAUCGCCGAGGGCCGUUGCAUGUGCAGAACCGAGUGCCCUCCUCCGAUGCUGUACCGGAUCAGCUCGGUCAUCUUGUACCCCAUGCCGUCUGACCUGCCACAUGAGUGCGUGCUCCGGGGUCCAUAGUCUUCCUCUCAUUCAAGAGCAGAGGGUUCGAUGUUAUAGCAAAUUACUCCCUCCGUCUCAAAAUAAGUGUCGUUUUUACUUUCCGAGAAAUAACUUUAACUAAAUAUAUAGUAAAAAAUAUUAAUAUUUAUAUUACAUAAUGAGUAUCAUUGGAAAGAUCUUUAAGUCUAGUUUUUUAACAAAUUUAUUUCGAGAUAUAAAUAUUGCAUGUAUUUUCUACAAAUCGAGUCAAACUUGUGGCACAAAAACCUAAAACGACACUCUUUUUGGGACGGAGGGAGUAUAUUUGAUUGUGGUUCAAAAUUCUCGUAAAUACUUGUAUUCAUAUUACAAAGUUCUUGUAAAUAUUUCUCUUUUUUUUUGAACAAAAACCAUGGGGCAUUGUAAAUAUUCCAUGUGCAAGUUCUAGUAAAUUUCAUAGUACGAGAUAUUCCAAUAUAAAAUUCUCAUAAAUAUUUACAACAUAAAAUCCCCAUAAACAUUGACAACAUAAAAUUCUUAUAAACAUUAACAACACAAAAUUAAGAAUGCUUUGACACGUAAAUUAAGAAUCAGUUAGAAAUUAGUUUCUCUAUUGUAUCCACUUAGUCUUGCUAUUGUUGUCCUAUGGAGUAUUCCGAGUGUUCAUUUGCAAUUUAUCAUUUAUAUUUAUCCUAUCUUUUGACUUAUCCCUGUUUAGAGUAGAAGGUAUAGGUUGUUUAUUCAUCCAUCAUAAGUUUUCAAUGUUACUUUUACCGGUCUUUCACUUAGAUAAAAGUAUAAACAAUGAUAUCUGAAAUACUCCCAAGUGAAGUGCUAAACAGUAUCAUCACGGUCACGGGCCGGUAUUUAUUGCGCCAUGUGGUAGAGAACAGGGGCGGGCAGACGACUCUUUCCCACAAGAGCUAUGAAGAAUGGGAGGGAGUGACUAGCGAUCAGACUCUUUUAGGCCUGGUUUAGUUCGCAAAUUUUUUUUGUUUUUGGCUACUGUAGCAUUUCGUUUUUAUUUGACAAAGAUUGUCCAAUCACAGAGUAACUAGGUUUAAAAGAUUUAUCUCACAAAUUACAGAUAAACUGUGCAGUUAGUUUUUAUUUUCAUCUAUAUUUAAUGCUCUAUGCAUACGAUUAAAGAUUCGAUGUGACGGGAAAUCUUGAAAAUUUUUGCGAACUAAACAAGGCCUUAGCUGACGUGCACACGUCCAUUUCGACAUAGGUUCCUCUAUCUCUUCAUCGAAUGACUAUUCUUCUUCAUCCGCCUGCUGUCCACCCCCGCAGCUGACGCCGUCUGUUGGUUGUCUUUCCCUGCUCUCGUUCGGUCGCGGCACCGUGAUCGAACCGCCUAAUUAAAUCGCCUGGCCAGCAUCUGCUCCCUGAGCUCCCUUAGCUUCUUCUAAGGCAAGAGACCUCCCUCCCCUAACUAGAACCAGAGGAAGAAGAAACACAGCUGCUUAAUAUCAUGCCUGCCUCCAAUCCCGUGUCGACGUCGUGUAUCCAUAUGUGUCGACAUCUAUCGUGGCGCACGUGCGCUCAAUAAGAAUUUGGUUGGCGAUCAACUGAUUGUUGUGAUGCAAUUGGUCGGUCUUGUUUACGGCACAUGUAUGAAACAUUAUAUAUAGAUAAAAAUAAAAACUAGUUAAUUAUAUAGUUUAACUGUAAAUCGCGAGAUGAAUUUUUUAAGCUUAGUUACUUUAUGAUUGGACAAUAUUUGCCAAAUAAAAACAAAAGUGCUAGAAGAUCCGAAAAUAAAAAAAAUAGAAACUAAACAAGGCCUAAUGGAGUUUUUUUUUUCUGGUCCCAUGAACCGAGAGCGGCCGACUCGCAUUAUAGGUAGGCUAGGGGAGUUGGAUUUUUUUUAAGGCUUACAUUUUCACCGAGCUAGAUGCGCAUGGAGACAUGCAUGACGGAAACGUGUCGUGUACAUACUUUCAUCGUUGAUCAACAACCGUGCAUGCAACUCCAAAUUAAAGAGGUACACAGUGUGAGCCACCUAUAUAAACUUGAACCAAACUAGUUGCUUUGUGUGGCUAGUGGCUUGGCCUGUCGGAAAAAUGCAUGCAUGGUGCGAGAGAUGUGGCCAUGUGGGGACGACGGGAGGAUAGCAGAUACGGUCCAUCGUCCAUGCACGCUGCAACGAUAUAAUCGGCCGUACGUCCCGGCCAGUUUCACUAGAGACACGGAGAGCGAGAGAAAUUAAAAAACAAGGGACGUGUUUCCAUGCUUUUUCACGCGGAUUUGUAGUACAGAGAGAUAGGCACGAAGCAACUGAGACCUUGUUUAGUUCCAUCCAAAAAUCUAAAAUUUUUCAAGAUUCUCCGUCACAUCGAAUCUAUAGACGAAUGCAUGGAGUAUUAAAUAUAGACAAAAAUAAAAACUAAUUGCACAGUUUAGUCGAAAUUGACGAGACGAAUCUUUUAAGCCUAGUUGAUUCAUGGUUGGACAAUAAUUACUAUAAACAAACGAAAGUGCUACAGUAUCAUGAAAUUUUUUUCUUCAGAAACUAAAUAAGACCUUGGUCAGCCACCACGGCCCACGUGUCGAACUCGCAUAUCGUCGUCACAUACAUCCACCACAACAGCAACAAGCAGCCGAAAGACCGACCGGCCCCGCGGUGCAUGCAUGGCCUGUGGACUGUGGGGGACAAGGCCCAAUAAAAUGAAUUGCUACGAGGCCGGCAAGGAAAGCGAUGCCCCAGCAGUCAGCCGACAUAACAAAAUGCAGUCUUACUGUUGAAUCUAUGGCCCUUGCUUUUGCUUAUUCCCUCUCCCAUGUAUGUAUGUACGUAAUCACAUAUUCACAUGUUAGCAUAACAAAACUCCCAUUUAGAUUGCUACGCACUCCAAUCCAUUCGAAAUUAUAAAACGUUUGACUACCAAAUUUGACCAAUCGUAUUAUCCAAAAUUUAUGUAAAAUAUGACUUCUUUUAACGUGACUUAUUAGUUUAUUAUCAGAAUUUCUUUAAAAAUAAUUUAAAUUUAAUUAUGUUUACAUAAAUUUUUUUAAAUAAGACAAACUUGAAGUUAAAAAGUCUUAUAAUUUAGGAUAGAGAGAAUAGUACAUAUCUAGUGGUGGCUAUAUAUAAAUAGCACCUCCUCCCAUGCGCCUACAACCACACAGCAAUAAGCCUCCCCCUUCAUCGAUCACCAAUUCACCAUCCAUCAUCAAAGGCAGCAACAAAAACCUCGCGAAGCAGGGAGACGACCACGCAUUGCAACUACCUGGUGGUUCUUGUGGCCAUUUGCUUGCUUGCUAGCUACCACCUGCAUUGCAGAUACACACAGUUACACGCAUAGAGAGACAGAGAGAGCAGAGAAGAAAUUCAUGGAGAUGUGCUUGGAUGAGAAGUGGAAGCUAUCGAGCAGCUCCAAGAAGGGAAGCCGGCGGUCGGCGGCAGUGGCGCCGGCGGCGACGAGCCCAAGAGGCCUCAACAAGGGCCGGACGACAUCAUCGAGGGGGCCCGCCGCCCGGUCUGCCGCCGUUCAUGGCCGGCUGGCGAGCCUGGUGAAGGAGCAGAGGGCAAGGUUCUACAUCGUGCGCCGCUGCGUCACCAUGCUCGUGUGCUGGAGGGACUAGCUAGCGAGUUCAUUCGCACGUACUUCUUCAGGGCCUGUGGCCCAUCAGGUGCUGCUCUGCAACGGCUUUGGCCCUGGAUGGCCCUAGCCCGGCCCUGUGGCUAAUUCUUAUUCAGGAGAGGGUGGGAGGAAGAAUGACCGGAUCGGAGAUGUGCCUAAUCUUUUGUGUGGCCGUCCUGUAUGUAUGUGCCUGACAGACAGUGUUUUUGUACUUUUAUUUGUAGUGUGUCAAAAAUGUUAGCUUUGAUUUGAUUUGAUAUCUGAUCUGAGUGCAGCUAGCACUGCUGUAAAACGGACAAGACUUCGUUACUUACUAGCAGCUCAUGAAAUGAGAUAUAUUAGCCCCUCUCUUACACUUAAUUUUUUCCGGAGAAUAUAUCAGUUCCAUGAGAAUGAUAUUAGUAGUAAAAAAGAACAAUUCCGAUCCAGUAUAAUACUGCCGAUCCUAUGGCCGGAUGAAUUUAACCGCGCCAGUGCAAAUCCAUUUUUGACGUUAGCAGAAAUUUAUACGUCAUUUUUACUGACCUUUCGCACCGACGGCUCAAAAAAAAACGUUAGCAGAAAUCAGUUGUGUACUGGCAUUAAAAACAUUUCGUCUACAUAGUGAUCUCACCCAUUGGUGGUGUGGAUGUAAUUGUAAUCUUCGAGCAAUCAACAUGGCACAGAUCAUUGCAGAUUAGACAGAUUUGGUAUAACCACUGGAUACUUAGGCAAUAUCUGCACCAUCCACGCAUUAACCAGAAAAUGGUGCUCUACUUUGUGAACAUGGGAUCCAAUAAGUAAGCAAAUUAUAAUGCGUGGAUCGGACAGGCAAACAGCCGGUCAGUUUGUCGCUUCCAUUUGACCAGACCUGCUCCUGCAACUGCUAGCCAAUUCAUCCGGCCGGCCGGCCGGCCGGCCCGACAGAAAAAAUCUCUGAACAACUGCCACUUAAACAACUUCCGUAUCGAUAGUGAGCAAUCUAGUACUGAUUAACAAGAAAUCAUGAGUUUCUUGACGAUCUGGUCUUGAUCUGAUUCAAGUGUUUGAACCCUAAUUUGGACACAUUUGCAUGAUUGGAGUAUCCAGAGCUCGUGUCCUGUUGCUAACGAUCCAUCGAGAUCAGACUAUCACUGUGUGCACAUGGCUGCGCUCGUCGUCUCUCUACUGAACUCACAUGCUAAUAACGCAUGAUGGGUUAAGAGAGAAACAUUCGGUGCACAUUCGGUUUGGUAGGCCUUUUUCACCGGCUUUAGACAGCUGUUUGGAACCUAAAUAAGGUAAAAUAAAAUAUUUUUUUAGUGAAGCCCCUAAAAACAUACUGAGACAAAGAAUAGAUAAAGGAUGAAGCUAGAAAAAGUUCAUAAUUGUUUAGUAUACGCAUGCACACAGUUAAUUUUUGCAUCCUAAUUUAAAAAUGCAUGCAUGUUCGUUAUUAACUUUCGGCUGCAUGUCGGCACACCCAUCGAUCCAAAUGCACUUCACUUGAACUUUAACCGUCGCAGCUACGGGGUACUAGGCCAUUAAAAUUUUGUGACGCUCUAGCACUUUCGUUUGUUUAUGGUAAUUAUUGUUCAACCAUAGACUAACUAGAUUCAAAAGAUUUAUCUCGUUAAUUUCGAUUAAACUGUACAAUUAGUUUUUAUUUUCGUCUACAUUUAAUACUUUAUGCAUGCGUCUAAAGAUUCGAUGCGAUGAAGAAUCUUGAAAAAUUUUGGAUUUUUUGAUGGAAGUAAACAAGACCCUACCUGACAACAUGAUGAGACCCCGAUCCACAUCGUGAUGCGAGACACGUGUCAGAGAAGCAGCCGCUUGACCACCCGCCGCGCGGUCAAAUGAUGACACGCAUGUGCGUGCCCGGAAUCCCAAUGCGUGGUCGUUCGUUCCCUCCUCAUCAUGUGCUUCGGAGUUUAGUGGCAAAUGGUUUCGUUUGAACUAAUAAUCUAUCCGGUCUCAUCUGACACUCGAUCACAUGGCAGACACUGGUGAUGGAGCAGUGUAGUACUAUAGUAGUAUCUAUCAUCAGCAUCGUCAUGAACUUCUACUUAAUUGCAUAAUCUAUCUUGUAGCUAAUUCUUGUCUUUUUGCAGCUUCAGGCCCUGUUUGGAGAAAUUGCAGUCUUUGAUCACCGGUGGCAUUCAGAUGAGAUGAUGAGAUGAGAAACUAUAGUUUGGAGAAACUGUAGUUUACAAAUAUCUUUGGAGUUUUUUUAAAAAAAAAAAUUAUGGUUUUGUGAAAUAUUUUGAUUUUAGAAUGCCAUGAGGUGUUUGGAUGCAACAAACUUUCUGGUUUUGAAUACCAUAGCAUUGCAGAAACUGUAGUGUUUUUCUUUUAGUUUUAAAAACUCCAUUCUCGACCUCUUUUCUCUAAACUAUGGUUUUGCACAUCAAUGAUAUUCUACAGUUUCUUAAUAUUACGGUUUCUUAAUACUACAAUGUCCAACCAAGGCCACAAAGAUGAUAGUAAAAGUUCAGUGAAAUAAAAUGAGUUGUAUGAGACUGACCUAAAUACCAAAGCAUACAUGCGUCCACACAUUUUGUUGCUAAAUGAACCAUUUAUUCUUUGCUCGAAUGACAGCCAAAUUAAAUGCAGUUUUGCAUAUUAGGCCAGUCUCAAUGGGGUUUCAUAGAGAGUGUCAUGCACAUUUAAUAGGGUGCUACAUCAGCACAUCUACACUUUUUGCAUGAAACGAAGAGGAGAGAGAAGAUAUUCGUUUCAUCUCCACGACACGAGCUGAGCAGCGUUACCAAGGCCGUGAAACGCAACGAAACUCCCAUUGAGAGGCUCCUUUCGUUUCAUCGAGUCCGCAUCUUCUUGGUUCGUGCAUGCAUCACGGUGGACGCCGGCCAAAGGACCUUCGUUGCGGACGUGACCUCCGUCGCGGGAGCCGGCCGCGGGAGGGGAAGCCAACUGCGACCUCCGUCGCGGGCGCCGUCGUUGUAGUGCGGGGCCGCCUCCGGCGCCGUCGCGAGCGAGACUACCUCCGCCACUGCGAAAUCCUCUGCUAUUGGAGCAGUCGUGUCACGGCUGCCUCUGUCGCCAACAGGUCCUCCGCCUCGCCGGCGCUGGACGCGCAGGCUCUGCUUCUGCCGGACGCGCGAGCUCCGCCUCCGCCGGACGUGCGGGCUAGCUCCGCCUCCGCCGGACGCGCGGGCUCUGCCUUCACCGGACAUGCGAGCCGGACGCACAGGCUCCACGUCUGCCGGACGCGAGCUCCGCCUUUACCGGACACGCGAGCUCCGCCUCCGCCUGACGCGCGGGCUGGCUCUGCCUCCACCGGACGCGCGGGCUCCGCCUUCACCGGACAUGCGAGUUCGUCAAGUCACAGUGACGAGAAGGAUGCAGCCUCCACUCCAUACUCGGCCGGAUCCAUGGGAGUCGCGGUGACAAGAAUGAUGCGGGGAAGAGAGAUGAUAGGGACAGGUGAGACCCACGAAUAAUAAAAUAAACCAUGAAAUCGUUCUAUGAAAUUUUGCAUUGUGGAAAAGAUUUGUUUCAUGUCAAAGUUUCACGUAUUGGAAAUUGGGAGAUGAAACUCUCCAUUGAGACUUAGAGACGAUUAUGCAUGUUGCUAUACUCCCUCUGUCCUGUAAUACAGUGUCUAAAAAUUUUAAGACAAUUUAAGAAAACACUUAAAUAACACAUGUACCCAUAGAUUAUUCUAAUUAUAGAAUUUUUUUCUUAAAUCAUGGCUUUUUUUAAACAAACCUUGCUAAAUUGUAACAUAGUCAUUAUAUAAAACAUAUUGUAUUUUAAUACAAAUUUUAGAAAUUAUAUAUAUUCUAUUUCAAGACGAAAAGAGUAUAUAUUAUCGAACAACUUGUCGGACAAGGACGUGUUACUACUUCCCUCAAAAAAAGGACGUGUUACUACCAAAUGCAUGCCUUGACCUGUGUUAUGGCUGUGGAUGCCUUGUCUGCGGGGCCCCUCUCUCAGAGCCUGUUGUGGGGCAGCAAGUGUUGUCCGGCCGGUGGCCGGACGUACCGCGUGCAUGUGGGCAGCCACGGGUGCACGUCUCGUGUGAUCUUGUCUCGCACCUCUUGCCCUAACAAAUGGCAAGGAGAUCAAUGCGUGGCACUGUACGUGGACGAGUAACUGGUUGACGAAAUGACAUUAGCACAGUAUACAGAUGCUCUAAGCCGGCGGAGACAAAAACUUUGCACAGACAGUGUUAUAAUGCGCCUGUGUUGUAAGUUUGUACGGCAAAAAAUAAAAACUGCUUAUGUAAAUAGGUCUGUACGGGCGGUUCACAUAAGAAAACCGUCUGUGUUAGUGCUCCAUUUACAAAGUCAGUUCACAUAAAAAACAAGUGCACGUAAAUUUAUGAGUUGCAUUAAAUUUUAAUACUAACAUACAAGUGCACGUUGCAGAAUGCAAUAUGAACAGUAACAGAUGCGGUACGGUCCGGAUCCAAGUACUAAUGCCAGUAAAAGGGUCGCGUAUAUGAGCCCAAUGAGGAUAUGUGAGGACGAGCACACUUUCAGGAUCGGAAAAGAUCACGACACCUUAAAAGGUUUGGUAUGGAUCCAAAGAGCGUGAGGACGAAAUACAGAAAAAGGGAAAAGAAACAAAUAGCUCGUUACGGCUUCUAUCUAGCCAUGACAAUGCUGGAGUUUCAAGAUAGGGAAUUAAUAUUCGCACCAUAUAACUUUCGGUAAGUGUCAGUUUGUAUGCAUCGUAUUAAUAGUUAAAAUACACACUUUGAUCAUAAAGUUGAUUCUCUCAGGGACCACUGGAUCUGCUUAAUGAUUAAUCCCAGGCUUGGACAUGUGCAUGCCGUAGACUCCGCAGACUAUGAACCAACAACUUAUGCACCAUUCAUUACUCUCUUAGAAUGGUAAGCCAAUUAAAAUAUGCAUACAAAAUUUUAUAAGAGUUUGACAAUAACUUGCAGAAUGUUUUGAUAUCAUAGGGCCUAUAGGUUUUAUAAGAUUAAAGGGAGAAGGUGUGAGUCAGAAAUACAGGGGCAGCCUUUGAGAUUCUUUUAUAAGUGGCCGGUACGUAUGAAAGUUUACCAAGUUAUUCUCGCUAGCUAUAUACAUAGAAUACGCAUCAUGUUGCAACUCACAAAUAUACUCUUUUUCUUUAUAUAGUAUCACAAGCAACCACUCGGAUCGGUCCACUGUGGAUUCUACGUUUGUGAGUUCAUGAGAGAGGGCAGAAGAUAUAUCACUAACCCUUAUAAGGUAAUUAAUGCUCUAAGUAAUUAAGGUUGUGUGAUUAAGGUUGUUAAUUAUGUAUUAUGAACAUUAAAUAUAUGAUGUUUUCUAACUUUCUAUGCAGCAAAAAGACUUUGAAAAGGCGAAGAGCAUGAGCGAAGCCACUUUAUACUACAUAGUUGAGGACCUCUGCAAAUUCAUGUUGAGAGAAGUCAUUCCCAGCGAAGGAAAAUAUCACAAUCGGACCAGCGCCCUAGCAAAGUCUGAAUACGGAGCGCUAAGGGAGAUUAGUAGGCUAAAGCUAACUCGAUCCGGUUAUUAGAGCAGAGGUUUCAGAGGUGAAACCUCUGAUGCAUGUAACAGAAAAAACUUGAACCUGAUGUGUGAUCAUGUUUGUAAUUAAUGUAACCUUAUGUAUAAAGUAACAUUAUAUACUAGGCUUUAGUAGUUUUAAUAUUAUGUGUAUAUAUAUAUAUAUAUAUAUAUAUAUGUAUGUGUCGAGGGUAUCAACAAGGGGUACCCUCACCAAUGCGUAUAACGAGACCAUCCGUGCAUAAAACUAGCUCCUCGAUUCGACGCUCCGCCCACACACACGCGCGGCCAUCGACGGCCGCAGCCUCGAAGACGGAAAUAGCGUCGAGCGAAUCGAUCAGGGCUCGAGCGACAACCGCCGUCGAAUACGGAAGCGGGCUCGAGCGAACCGAGAGGCGUCGAGCGCAAGGACACUGUCCGCCGCCUGACGCGCGCACGAGAGCCAGGGCAUUUAAUGCACCUGACGCUUCCCCACCUAACACAUGGGUCACGGGAGGCGUGAUAGGGAACAGGCUUCUGUCCCGUCGUUCUUUUUGCAGCCUUCCCACCGAACGACCCAGGGCGUGUCAGGACGCGGGAAACAAGGAUGGAACGUCUAAUCGGGACCCCCUCGAGACACCCAAGGUCAGCGCUCCAGAUAUCGACACCUCGUACGGCGUCCGACCCUCGACCUCACCAGGCUCCUUCCUGGAGACGAGUCGGGCGUCGACUGACAACACCACAACUACCCCGCCGGAUCUGCCGCCAUACCGUACGAGCGUGCGACCUCAGAACCAGCGCGAGGCGGCGCACAGGGUGGAACGCAGGAGCACGCGUAAUCAUCACCGGGUUAUCAAGAUGGGACGGCUCGAGGCCAUGCUGUACGGAAGCCUCGAGUAGGUCAGCGCUCCAUGCGGCUAUCGACCCCUACUCUAACAUCUACGCAUGUACCCUAGGUCUCUCCUUGGAGCUAUAAAAGGGGAGACUCAGGAAUAGAAAGGGGGAGGCUCACACAUAGGAGAUCACGACACAAGACCACGCUCAUACAUAGUAGAGCUCGACACUUCAUACCACGCUUGUAUUCGCCCCUGUACAAGCACUUAGGUGCAAGAUAAUACAAACUAUCCCCCCCCCGCUGGACGUAGGGCCUUCUCUUGCCCGAACCAGGAUAAAUCUUUGUGUCUUCUUGCAUCACCAUCCGGGAAAGGGAGCACGCAUACAAAUUUACUCGUUGGUGUGACCCCCCGGGGGGAAAACACCAACAGUUGGCGCGCCAGGUAGGGGUCCUGCGUGUUUUUCAUCGAUUUCCCACUCCUUUCUGGAUGGCUACUCUUGCCUCGCCGUUUCCGCGCUCCACGGUGAUUUGGUUUGGGAGUCUCGAGUUCAUGUCUACGGGCUCCGGCUACGACAUGAUCUUGCUCUCAGUCAAAGGACCAGGAGGAGCCCGCGUUACGCCAGCACGGUUGAAGGCCCCGAGACGCCCUCACCACCACGCCUCCCCGCCUAAGAAGAGGCGCGGACAGCACCACCGCGGCCCCUCUGCUUCAGCACGACCAACAACUCGUGCGAGGCAGGACGUAGGCCACAAGUCGGCAGCACCGUGUGACGGAGCAACAAACGCGACGACUCAGCACCGCGCGACGACGGGAGGGGACGCGUCUCGCGCGCUCUCCCCCACCGCUGCUAGGCUACUUCCACACGGGUUGUUCACUCCAAGAGCGGCACUGCCGUUUGGAUUGGAUAACGCCGCGGCGUCGAUCGCCAGGGCGAUAUGCCCAAACGCCCAGACGUACGUAGAAAGACCUAUGGUCCUCCCGCGUAGCUCUGAAGCGCGGCGGCCGGCGUCCGAGCUACCGGACCUUUCCCGAGUACGAGGCCUCCGUCGUCUAGGCCCCGGACGGUACUCGAUCACCUCCCUCAGGCAACGAUUGCUGGAGGAAGGACGUGGGUGUUUCUGCGCCGCCAGACCGGACUCCGACUCCGAGACAGAUAGCUAUGACCCUACGAGGGAAUGCUAUCACAUCGAUGGGGCGGUAGAAACUACUGACGAGACACGGGAUGCUGCUGCGGGUGGUCGAGCCCCCGCGGCGCGAGAAGACCCCAGGACGCCUGGGAACGACGGACAGGUCGACCCCCCUCCUCAGGAAGACAGAACCGCGCAGCUCGCGCAGCUGCGGGAGCUCAAGAUGAAGCUCGACGAAGACCGCGAGCGCCUCGUCCUGCUCGAACAAAUCCUCGAGCAAGACCUGCCCUACCCGUCGGGCGGAAGUGUCCGCAGACGCGCUCGAGAGGUACAUCGACAGAUCGUCGGCGACGCAGAGCCAGAGCAACCUGUCAGCCGUUUCCCUCGAGCAGGCCAGAACGUAGUAGCAGCGACGAUGCUGCUACGUAACAUGCCAGAGCCGUCGAAUUCCCAAGCCCGACGCAUUCGGGAUGAAGUACAAACAUUGCUCCAGGUGGCGGCGGUUCAACAAGCCGAAAGUUCGGCAUCUCGACGACGAGGAGCUGCCACAGAGAAGCGCGACGAAUAGCCUCUAAACGAAGAGGAGGUGUCAGUCCAUCAACAACCUCCCCCUCGAGGUAGAAAGACCGCUCUCAUCCUCCCCGUCGACAAUCAACGUCGACACGACGCGCGGCACGACAUCAGAGAAAGUCGACGCCGCCGGCACGGAGACGCGGAAGAGCGCGGUUACAGCGCACAUCGCGGUGGGAGAUACGACAGCGACGAGGACCGGGUGGCCCCCGAGCCACCAGGCCCACGGGUGUUCAGCAGGGCGAUCCGCAGCACGCCCCUGCCCAAUCCAUUUCGACCCCCGACCAGCAUCUCGGAGUACAAUGGAGAGACCAAACCAGAGUUGUGGCUGGCCGACUUCAGGCUGGCCUGUCAGCUAGGUGGCGCUCGAGGUGAUGAUCGAGCCAUCAUCAGACAGCUACCCCUUUUCCUCUCCGACACCGCCCGUCGAUGGCUCGAGGAACUCCCUGCCAAUCAGAUCCACAACUAGGUUGAUCUGGUCAGAGUCUUCGAGGGUAACUUCAAAGGGACCUACAUACGGCCAGGGAACUCGUGGGACCUCAGCAAGUGCAAGCAGAAGUCAGGAGAAACUCUUCGGGAGUAUGCUCGACGCUUCUCGAAGCAGCGCACUGAGUUGCCGCACAUCCCUGACCACGACGUCAUCUUGGCGUUUGUCUCGGGCACCACCAGUCGAGACUUGGUGCGGGAAUUAGGUCGCAAUCGAUCUCAGACCGUCGACGAGCUGAUGGACGUAGUAGCCAACUACGCGGCAGGGGAGGAGGCAGUCGGCGCCUUCUUCAGCUCAGAAGGAAGAAAAGGCAAGCAGCCCGUCGACGAAGAUGGGACCCCCAGUCGAGGCCUCAAGAAAAAUAAAAAGAAGCAGAAAGUGCGGCAGUUCCGCCGGGAAGAUUCCGAAGACAACCUUGUCGCCGCCAUGGAUCGAAAGAAGCCUCGAGGCCCUCCGGAUGGAGGCAUCUUUGACAAGAUGUUGGAGGAGCCGUGCCCUUACCAUAAGGGAGGCGCCAACCACAAGCUCAAGGACUGUCGUAUGCUGAGAAAGCAUUUCGACGGUCUGGGGUUCAAAAAAGAUACGCGUGAUGACUCCAAGAAAGAGAAGGGUGGCAGCAAGGAGGACAACAAAGAUGACGACGGCUUCCCCGCCGUCCACGACUGCUACAUGAUCUAUGGCGGGCCCUUGACUCAAUUAACCAUGAGGCAGCGCAAAAGGGAGCGUCGCGAAGUCUUUGCGGCAAGAAUGGCGGUGCCCCAGUACCUUAGCUGGUCAAGCACUCCUAUCACUUUCGACCGAGAGGACCACCCCGACAAGGUAGUCGCCCCAGGCGUCUACCCGCUCGUCGUCGACCCCAUCAUCAUCAACACCCGACUCUCGAAAGUGCUGAUGGAUGGUGGCAGCAGCCUCAACAUCAUCUACCUCGAGACCCUCGACCUCCUCGGCAUCGAUAGAGGACGCCUCCAGCCAAGCGCCGGCGGUUUCCAUGGCGUCGUGCCAGGGAAAAAGGCACUGCCAGUAGGUCGAAUUGACCUACCGAUCUGCUUCGGCACAGCGGCCAACUUCAGGAAGGAGACCCUCACCUUUGAGGUGGUUGGGUUCCGAGGCACGUACCACGCCAUCAUCGGGCGUCCAGGCUACGCCAAGUUCAUGGCUAUACCCAACUACACCUACUUGAAGCUGAAGAUGCCCGGUCCCAAAGGCGUCAUCACUGUCAGUUCCUCCUUCGAGCACGCGUACGAGUGCGACGUCGAGUGCGUCGAGUACGGGGAGGCGGUCGAAAGCUCCACCGAGCUUGUUGCAAAGCUCGAGGCCCUGGCCGCCGAGGCUCCAGAGCCUAAGCGUCAUGCGGGCAGCUUCGAGGCAGCGGCAGGAACCAAGAAGAUCCCGCUCGACCCCAGCAACUCCGACGGCAAAGUGCUGACGAUCAGCACCGACCUCGACCCCAAAUAGGAAGCCGUGCUCGUCGACUUUCUCCGUGCAAAUGCUGAUAUGUUUGCAUGGAGUCCCUCGGACAUGCCAGGCAUACCGAGGGAAGUCGCCGAGCACUCCUUGGAGAUUCGAGCCUGUUCCAAGCCAGUGAAGCAGCGGUUGCGCCGAUUCGAUGAGGAAAAGCGCAAGAUCAUUGGCGAGGAAGUCCACAAGCUUUUGACGGCCGGAUUCAUCAAGGAGGUUCAUCAUCCUGACUGGUUGGCAAACCCUGUAUUAGUUAAGAAAAAGAAUGGGAAAAUGAGGAUGUGUGUCGAUUAUACUAGUCUGAAUAAAGCAUGUCCAAAAGUUCCCUUUCCAUUGCCACGCAUUGAUCAGAUUGUCGAUUCUACCGCGGGAUGUGAAACCCUUUCUUUCCUUGAUGCAUAUUCUGGUUACCACCAAAUAAAAAUGAAGGAGUCCGACCAGCUCGCGACCUCUUUCAUCACGCCUUUUGGGAUGUAUUGCUACGUGACCAUGCCAUUUGGGCUUCGAAACGCGGGAGCCACGUACCAACGUUGCAUGCUCCACGUGUUUGGCGAACAUAUAGGGUCAACGGUCGAGGCCUACGUCGACGACAUUGUCGUCAAGUCAAAGCGACGAGGAGACCUGAUCCAGGACCUUGAGAUUGCCUUUAGCUGUCUACGCACCAGCCGGAUCAAGCUCAAUCCCGAGAAGUGCGUUUUCGGUGUGCCUCGAGGCAUGCUCCUAGGAUACAUCGUUUCGCAGCGCGGCAUCGAGGCCAACCCCGAGAAAGUCUCGGCUAUCACGAAAAUGGGGCCGAUCCGAGACAUCAAGGGUGUACAGAGAGUCACGGGGUGCCUGGCGGCUCUGAGCCGCUUCAUCUCGAGACUAGGAGAAAAGGCAUUACCAUUAUAUCGACUCCUGAAGAAGGUCGAGCGCUUUUCUUGGACCCCCGAGGCCGAGGAAGCACUCGAAAGGCUGAAGAAGACGCUGACCUCGGCACCGGUCCUGGUUCCACCUCAUCCUGCAGAACCGCUGCUCCUCUACGUCGCGUCGACGACCCAGGUCGUCAGCGCGGCGGUGGUGGUCGAGAGGCAGGAGGAGGGACAUGCGCUACCGGUUCAGAGGCCAGUAUAUUUCGUCAGCGAGGUGCUUUCGGAGACCAAAGCGCGUUAUCCCCAAAUCCAGAAGCUGAUUUAUGCCGUAAUCCUUGCCCGUCGCAAGCUACAGCAUUACUUCCUUGGCCACCCCAUCACGGUGGUCUCGUCUUUUCCUUUAGGCGAAAUAAUCCAGAGUAAAGAAGCCACGGGAAGAAUAGCAAAAUGGUCGGUCGAGCUCAUGAGUGAGACUCUCACUUAUGCGCCUCGCAAGGCCAUCAAAUCGCAGGCCCUGGCAGACUUCAUCGCAGAAUGGACGGACACCCAGCUCCCCCCGACCCAGGUCCAGGCGGAACUAUGGACGAUGUAUUUCGAUGGGUCACUCAUGAAAACUGGAGCCGGAGCCGGCCUGCUGUUCAUCUCACCCUUGGGCGUCCACAUGAGAUACGUAAUCAGGAUUCAUUUUGCCGCAUCUAACAAUGUCGUAGAAUAUGAGGCCCUCGUCAACGGUCUCAAGAUCGCUAUCGAGUUAGGAGUCCGACGCCUCGACAUCCGAGGUGACUCCCAACUCAUCAUCGACCAAGUGAUGAAAACCUCGAGCUGCCACGACCCAAAAAUGGAAGCGUACUACAAAGAAGUCCAUCGACUCGAGGACAGGUUCCACGGUCUCGAGCUUGUCCAUAUCGCUCGACGCUACAACGAGGCAGCCGACGAACUCGCCAAGAUCGCAUCGACCAGAGGCACGGUGCCUCCUGAUGCAUUCUCAAAAGAUCUUCACGAGCCAUCCGUCGACAUAGGCACGGGGGCUGGCGUCGACGCCACCACCGCCCAACCAACCAAUGCUAUCGAUACGCUCUUGAUGGUGGAAGAGAUGACGGAGAUAGAACGACGGCCAGGUCGACCAUUCGAUUGGCGCACACCGUUCCUCGACUGCCUUAUCCGCGGCGAGUUGCCAGAAGACAGGUCAGAAGCUCGUCGUGUCGCUCGACGGGCCAAAUCAUACGUGAUCUAUGGCGAAGACAACGAGCUAUAUCGACGGAGCCCGACGGGGGUCUUACAACGUUGCAUCACCGUGGAAGAAGGCCGAAAACUCCUCGAUGACCUGCACUCGGGGGCUUGCGGUCACCACGCCGCUCCACGGACCCUUGUAGGGAAUGCUUUUCGACAAGGCUUCUACUGGCCAACGGCCGUGGCGGACGCCAUCGAGCUCGUACGAUCAUGUCACGGGUGUCAGUUCUACGCCAAGCAGACGCAUCUGCCCGCCCACGCUCUUCAGAUGAUCCCCAUUACCUGGCCGUUUGCGGUGUGGGGGCUCGAUUUAGUAGGACCUCUACAAAAGGCGAAAGGAGGAUUCACCCAUUUGCUGGUGGCCAUAGACAAGUUCUCCAAAUGGAUCGAGGCUCGACCCAUCACCAACAUCCGCUCCGAGCAGGCCGUCCUUUUCUUCACCGACAUCAUCCAUCGGUUUGGGAUCCCCAAUGUCAUCAUCACCGACAACGGCACCCAGUUCACCGGCAAAAAGUUCUUGGACUUCUGCGAUCGGCAUCACAUCCGUGUGAACUGGUCUGCAGUAGCCCACCCUCGAACUAACGGCCAAGUCGAGCGUGCCAACGGCAUGAUUUUGCAAGGACUCAAGCCAAGGAUCUACAAUCGAUUGAAGAAAUUCGGCAAGAAAUGGGUCGAGGAGCUUUCCUCAGUCCUAUGGAGCCUCAGGACGACACCAAGCAGGGCCACAAAAUACACCCCGUUCUUCAUGGUCUACGGCUCUGAGGCUAUCCUCCCCACAGACCUCGAGUAUGGGUCACCUCGACUCAAGGCCUACAACGAGCAAUCGAACAAAGAGACUCAAGAAAACGCGGUCGACCAACUUGAGGAGGCUCGAGACAUGGCCCUCCUCAACUCUGCCAGAUAUCAGCAAAGGCUUCGACGCUACCACGACAAGCAUGUGCGCAAGAGGGACCUCAACGUGGGCGACCUAGUCCUACGACGCCGGCAAAGUAAUCAGGGACGCCACAAGCUGACUCCGCCUUGGGAAGGCCCGUACGUGGUGGCCGAGGUCCUGAAGCCGGGAACGUACAAGCUGGCGGACGAAAAGGGGGCAAUCUUCACCAACGCAUGGAACAUCGAACAGCUACGUCGAUUCUACCCCUAGAAGUUCUAAACUUAUGUCCCUGCUUACAUUUUGUACCAAGACUUUGUAAACGAACGAAUGAAUAAAUAAAGUCCUUCCCUCGAAACAAUUCUUUUUUCUUUGUGCCGAGAAGAUUCAUAAGUCACGAUCUCGACGUUAAAAGGGGGCGCCGACUAUGACCCAUCAUAGUCAGCACCCCCUCGGGGGCUACCAGGGGGACGACCCCCCCCAAACGUCGAAAAAAGCCAAGAAAUUUUCUUUUCUUACUUAGUAAACCUUAUACGAUUCGAGUAGCCAAAGCACCUCGAGCCCCUCAAAGGCCGAGGGACAACGAGCCUGAGAACUCCUACGCCCCCGGGCUACGGAAAACUCUACUCACUUCCUUACCCUUGAGGUGAUCAAGGUUGUUUUUGACGAAAGAUCGAACAAGGAAUACAAACGUAGGAAUAAGGAAGAAUAAAAGAACCUCGAGCGGAAAGACAAACAGACAUUCAACAAUUACAAAAAGAUACUGUGUCGCUUAAAGACAGAGUUAACAAAGUAUUAUACAAGGGGCCCCGGGCACCCUGAGCUGGCUCGCAGGCCUCAGUCCGAGGCACGAUCCUCACCGCCUUCGCCUCCGCCCGAGCUAGUCUCAGGAGGGAGCACCUCAGGCUCAAAAAGCUUAGCCAACCGUUCCCCAGGAGCCUCCGCGUCGUCGAUCAAGGCGUGGAGCCUCUCCUCGUUCUCCGCGUCAGUCUUGGAGAUGUCGGUGACGAAGCCAUGAGACACCACCUCCAUGUCGUAGGAGAAGCCCGAGCAGACAACCGCCAUCGCCCGCUUCACCCCGAUGUGGAGGGCAUCCCGCACCCGAUCUCGCAGCGUCGCGCCUAUGUAGCACAGCUGGUCGACCAGGGCGUCACCUCGAGCACCCUCCCUCGACUCAUCCAUAGGCUCGACCUCCCAAGAGGUCGAGAGAUCACUUAUCGCCGUCCGCACUCGACGGUUCAAAGCAACCUCCGCCUCGAGCUGAGCCUUGGCGUUGCGAGCCUCGGCUUGGGCGGCCAGGAGUUCGUCCUUGAGCCCUGUAAAAGCCAAUACAAAGAGACCUUAGGAAAAACUAAGCACACCUCGGAAAAAGAAAUCUGAUAGAGGAAACAUACCGCGUACGGUCUCCUCGAGGGCCGUGUUCUCGCCGACCAGCCUGGUGUUGGCCCCCUCGAUCUCUUUGUUGGAGCGUGCCAGCUCGGUGUUGGCAACGCGGAGAUCCUCGAUCGCCUUGCCAGCCUGAGCAAUGGCCCCACUCUUCUCCAGCAAUUCUCCCUUCAGACGCUCGACGUCGUUGGAGAGACUGCGGGAUCGAGCCCGCUCCGCCUCGAGAUCUUCGAGGGCCUUCUUCUUGGCUUCCUCCGCGGCGCCCCCGGCGACCUCGCCGUUCACAUGCUCCACCUUCAUCUUUCGGAAGGACUCUCGGAGAGAGUCCAGGUCGGAUUUAAGGAGGCCCUUCUCCUUGUCCAGAUCCGCGAUAACGCUCUUGCAGGACAGGGCCUCCUCCCGGGCUCUGGACGCGGCCUCCUCGACCGUGAGAGCCCGUUCCCGUAGCUGCAUCGUCUCCUCCUCCGCCUUCUUCGAGGCCUCUCGGGCCUCGGCCAAGGCAGCCUCCCUCGCCUUCUUCUCCUCCUCGAGUGCUAUGAGAUCUUUGUAAGCUUUAAGGAGCUUUUCCUGCGACUCGAGGAGUUGAUCCUUGAGGAGGGGGAGCUGCUCCCAUCCGCCCCUCGUGGCGUGUAUGAAACUGGACUUGAUGCGGGAGGUCUCUUUCAUAUCCUGCGAAUCAAGGGUCGGAUGGAUUAGAAUACAGAAACCAGAAAGCACCAUGAGGAUUGGAGUUCGAGAAACACUUACGAAAUAAGCCGGGCCGAGCCCGUUGUUGAUAACGUCCGAGAGGAGCCCCACCACAUGCUUCAUCCAAAGGCGGAGCUCCUCGACGUGUUCCCACUUCUCCGCCUCCUUCCAAUCGUCGAGGAAGAUGUCGGGCUCAGAAGGGUCGUGGGAGGCCCGAAUACGGAUGCGAUCGGGGCACCAGUGCUCCAUCUCCCGGUCAGCCCGCGCCUUAACGCCGCGGAUGAGGCCCUCGACGGUCUCGAGGGAGCCCCCAUGGCGCAGGAACAGGUCGACGAGGCAUGGGAACCGUCCGUCGUCGUCCACCGUCUUCCAGGUUCCGUCCUUGGUCCCCGAUGCCCCAAUUUCAUCUUCCUCGGAAGGAAAGCGGUCCUCCCACGCCCGACGUUCCCGGAGGAACCCUGGGGCAAUCCCGUCCAUGCCGUAAAUUGUCCUCUUGAUAUCGGACUCGGGGUCGGGGGGCGUGCGCUUCAGGCAGGCGAGCGCCACCACUCCAUCCGCUCGCCCCGGCUCUGCCCGAAUCGCGGCGGGUGCCCCCGGGAGGAGCCACGCCGGGGUUGGGGGGCCGUACACCGGCAGGUCCUCCUCCUCGCCGAGCCCUUGCGGCUCCGGUGGCACUGGCUGGGCCGGACCUUGGGGCGGAGGCUCGAGCGGUCCCUCCUCUUGGCCCGCCUGCUGCUGCUGCUGUUGCUGCUGCGGUGGUUGCUGCUGCUGCUGCUGCGGUUGCUGCUGCGGUUGUUGCUGUUGUUGCUGCUGCUGUUGUUGUUGCUGCUGCUGCUGUUGUUGUUGCUGCUGUUGCUGUGCCUCGUGCUCCUGCGGCUGCCGCGCCGCCUCGCGCUCCCGCUGUUCAUCCUCCUCCCUCUUCUUUUUCUGCUCCUCGAGGGUAUGGAGGCCGGCGGGCCAGGGAGUUGACCCCGCGACACGAGGGCUCGACGUUUCCUCCUCCAUAGGGCGGGCACCCCCAGACGCUCUGUCACCAUCAGACGUGUCGCUGAUGGUGAUGGGUUCCCCCUCGACCCCCAAUCGAGGGGGCUCGGGGGCUCCCUCUGACGCUUGCGUCUGGGACGCCCCGCCACAAGUCGGCGGCGAUGAGGCAGGCACGGGACGAGGCGGACUCCUCUCGACACUGGCUGGAGGUUGGGAGUCGGAGGAGCCUACAAAACAAGGGAUAAAGGUUAGACGCUGAAAUAACCGACGCGAGAACAUCACAGGGGCCAUAAACAAGCUAUAAACCUGGUUCCUUGGAGGCGGUUCCCGUUUUGAGCCUCUUUGCCAUGGACGGCUGGGCCCGCUCGAGGGUCCGCUUUAGCCUGAGAAAAGAACGGCAUAUGAGGAAACGCAGGGGAGUAGAAAGACAAAAGCCACAGCAUCGAGAAGGCUUACCCCACAGGGAGAACGACUCGAGCCACCCCGCGUCAGGGCUCCAGGCCCCUCGAGGGCAGGCGCUGGCCUAGGUGCGUCAGUUCCCGCCUGACGGGCGCCGGGACUGGCACUCCUGCGGCCGACCUCUCCUUUCUCGGAGGCCGCUGCGCGACCGCGGGUCAGUGGCCCCGUCGCUUGGGGCUUGGCAUGACCGCCCUCCGUGGGCGCCGGGGGAGGGCGCGGCGCGACUUGACUGACUUUGGGCACGGGAGGGGUGUCGGCGCGAGGACGGUAGGACCCGCCUGGGCCCCCCGUCGGAGCUUCUGCCCGAGGAGCGUCGACGUCGCCUUGAGAUGGACCCCCGAGGAUCCGGUCAAGACGAGACGCCAUCCCCUCGGAGUCCUCACUGUCCUCGUCAUCGUCGUCAUCUUUCUCGCUGGGGGACUCUUCCUCAGGCUCUCCCCUCUGCCUGGACUUGGACCGGCGCGCCUCUAAGGCUUGCCGGUCGAGGUUUUUCUUCUUCUCCCCCUUCUUCUUAGAAUCCUUGACGGACUUCGACUUCUCGGCGGACCGGCGCCGCGCGUCGCGGUCAACUUCGUCCUCCUUCACCGGAGGCCUCGAGGAUCGAACGUCCAUCCGCCCCUGCCACCGUAAAAAGUAGACUUAGAAAGAGGGGGUGGAAAAGGAACCCAGAGUCAAGGCUACCCACGAGGAAGAAAACAUACCAGAUCGACCGAGCCUUCAUCAGGCCUCAUGGGGAAGCCGUUGACAUGUUGCGACUUGAAGUCGCCGGCGAUGGCUGCCCUGACUCGGGCGGCGACUUCAUCGUCCGCCAGAGCCACGUUGGACAUCCGGCAAGCUUCGAGAUCCCGGGACGAGACGCCCGGCCCCAUUUCGUCCAUCCUCAACGGCCGAGACAUCAGUGGAAGGACCCUCCGACGAUGGACGGCCGAGAGGACGAGAGCGGCGGACAGGCCCUCCACGCGCAGCUUCUUCAUGGCGUCGAGGAGGGGGUCGAGCCGCGACUGGUGCUCCUGGACGAUGCCAUACGUCCAGUUGUCUGGGCGCUCCGAGAUCAGACGGCCCGUGUAGGCGGGGAAGAGACCGUCGUCGUUUCUCAGAUAGAACCACUGGGAGUCCCACCCAGCAUGGUUCGACGACAGCCCCACCGGGAUGUACUCGCGCGGCCUCUCCGUCUUCUUCGUCUUCAACACCAGGUUGAGGCAACCGGCCCGCACGGGUUUCCUCACGCCGGUGGUUCCGGUGGGGGCGUUGAAAAGUUCGCCCCUGUAGAGGUGGAGCCAUAGAUCCCAAUGGGGCAUCAUCCCCAGAUAGCCCUCACACACCGCGGCGAAGACCGCCGCGACGGUGAUGGCGUUUGGGGAAAAAUGCUGGAGCUCCACUCCAUAGUGGAAGCAGAGGGCCCGCAUAAAGCGACUCGGGGGAGCACCCAAGCAUGGCGGUGGAACUUGGCGAAUGACACCACAUAGCCCUCGGGUGGCUGGGGCUCCCUGUGACUCGCCGGCGGCGCGAUCCACUCCGGCGAAGACUGCGAAGUGCGGCGGCGCAAGAGCCCUUCAUUCUCGAGCUCUAGCAGACGGCGGUCCGUCAUCAACGACGGACGCCAGUCGUCGGCGGCAACAAGCCUCACAGGCAUCUUGGUUGGAAGGAUGGCGGAUUCGCUACCGCUCGAGGGGGUGCACGCGCGCGUGGUGGAAGCAAGAGAGCAAAGGCAGCGAGAAGACGAAGGCGAGAGGACGGAAGGGGAGAGAAGGAAUGGAGCAACGCCACGGUGUAUUUAUAGAUAGCGGCCGACCAGCGGAUAGAUCCGAUAAAUGAGGUAACUCCCCCCAUAAAUGCGCCGUCUAACGGUCCUUUCUCUCCUCACAGGCCGGACGCUCCGAAUUCCCCGCCGAUACAGUGUCGCAACGUCACUUACCUCAAAAGGUGCGCCCAACGGGCAGAAAGACGAACCGGUACGGCAGCUUCCUUACUUCGUAAGCCAAAGUAUGCGCCCACAAUAGUCUCGAGAGGUCGAUGGCUGGCCCGUCGAAAGGGUUCGACAGCCGAUCUCGAGCACCAAGAGUCAGGGAUCCCCAGCGAGUGGUCGAAAAUCGAGGCCCGCCUCGAGGACUCGCUGGCGAUGUCCAAGGUAGGGUCGAGACAGUCGAGAGGAAUCCCCCCGAAGGGAGGCAUCGAGCCGCUGGACUCUAUCGAAUGAGACCGGUAUCCCCGACCACGUCGACCCUGCUUCAUGAGGACGCCUCCGGGCUACAGCUGACCCCCUCGAAAGGGGCAUAGGUUCUCACUUGGACUACCCGCUAGGAACUCAAUCUGGGGUGGAAGACGCUCGCUCUAUCGAGAGUACGUCGAAAUCUCCACGCAAGGCAAAGCCGAACAGAACCUUCCACCACGGGUGUUGACAGCGUUUCUGCAAAUUUGGCAAAAUAACCCUCGAAGGAGUUAAAUACUCCCUCGAGGGCUCGGGGGCUACCCCCGCGGGGUCGCUCGCGCGCCCCCGCGGAAGCUCGACCGUAAAAGCGAAAGUCUCCACUCGAGCGCCAGCGCUCGAAUGAAGACUCGGGGGCUACUGUCGAGGGUAUCAACAAGGGGUACCCUCACCAAUGCGUAUAACGAGACCAUCCGUGCAUAAAACUAGCUCCUCGAUUCGACGCUCCGCCCACACACACGCGCGGCCAUCGACGGCCGCAGCCUCGAAGACGGAAAUAGCGUCGAGCGAAUCGAUCAGGGCUCGAGCGACAACCGCCGUCGAAUACGGAAGCGGGCUCGAGCGAACCGAGAGGCGUCGAGCGCAAGGACACUGUCCGCCGCCUGACGCGCGCACGAGAGCCAGGGCAUUUAAUGCACCUGACGCUUCCCCACCUAACACAUGGGUCACGGGAGGCGUGAUAGGGAACAGGCUUCUGUCCCGUCGUUCUUUUUGCAGCCUUCCCACCGAACGACCCAGGGCGUGUCAGGACGCGGGAAACAAGGAUGGAACGUCUAAUCGGGACCCCCUCGAGACACCCAAGGUCAGCGCUCCAGAUAUCGACACCUCGUACGGCGUCCGACCCUCGACCUCACCAGGCUCCUUCCUGGAGACGAGUCGGGCGUCGACUGACAACACCACAACUACCCCGCCGGAUCUGCCGCCAUACCGUACGAGCGUGCGACCUCAGAACCAGCGCGAGGCGGCGCACAGGGCGGAACGCAGGAGCACGCGUAAUCAUCACCGGGUUAUCAAGAUGGGACGGCUCGAGGCCAUGCUGUACGGAAGUCUCGAGUAGGUCAGCGCUCCAUGCGGCUAUCGACCCCUACUCUAACAUCUACGCAUGUACCCUAGGUCUCUCCUUGGAGCUAUAAAAGGGGAGACUCAGGAAUAGAAAGGGGGAGGCUCACACAUAGGAGAUCACGACACAAGACCACGCUCAUACGUAGUAGAGCUCGACACUUCAUACCACGCUUGUAUUCGCCCCUGUACAAGCACUUAGGUGCAAGAUAAUACAAACUAUCCCCCCCCGCUGGACGUAGGGCCUUCUCUUGCCCGAACCAGGAUAAAUCUUUGUGUCUUCUUGCAUCACCAUCCGGGAAAGGGAGCACGCAUACAAAUUUACUCGUUGGUGUGACCCCCCGGGGGGAAAACACCAACAGUAUGUAUGUUGUAUGUACAUGUUAAAAUAUAAAAUGAAAAAUAGGGUCUGGUGGGAAAAUUUGGAAAUUGGUGGGAGAUUUAGAAAUUUUAACACAGGCGGUUAUAUAAUGAGAACCGUCUGUAGAAAAUACAUUUCUACAGGCGGGUGGCAUAACUGAACCGCCUGUAGAAAUGGAUUUCUACAGGCGGUUCUUAGUUACCCGCAUGUGGAAACUCUUAAUUUCCACAGGCACCCAGCGCAGGCGGUUCUCCAAUCCGUCUGUGGAAAGGGGUUGGGAACCGCCUGUAUAGUGGUUCUGUGUACUAGUGUAAGAGCUUAAAAGCUAUAGGACUAAGCUCUCAUCAGUGACUGAUGUCUGACAAAACACACGAGUUUAACCUAGAGGAAGGCUCAGCUGCAACGAGCGAUGGCUUAGGGUUAGGUUAAUUGAUCAAGCGAGCUAGCUGCGUACUUAAAAAUGAGCAUUCGUGCUGCCCGGCCCGGCCCGGCACGGCCUGAUCAGGCCUAGCAUGGCAAUGCACAACGUGCCGCCAGGCCAUGCCUCACUAGGCUUCGUGCGUACCCAACAGCCCACACACGAUGUGCCGAGCCACUUUGUGUGUCAGUGGAGCACAGGAGGUGGCUAGACGCGUAGGGCCAGUUGGAAAGCUUGAUGACGCACAGAGAGGGGCAGAAGGAGGCGGCUCCAGCAUAGCAUCGUAGCGUGUGGAGAGGGCGGGGCCGCAGGAUUUAGGAUAGGGUUGGGGUUUGAGAUGGCAUGAUGGAGGCAGGGGGAAGGGUUUACAAAGGUAGAUCGAGCCACGUCAGGGCAUGCCACCAUUUUGUGGCCCAGGCUGUGCCGCCUGUCGCGCUAGGGGAGCGGGCUAGGCACGGCCUGGUCCUUCAGGCCGAGCCGGGCCGAAAAAUUCAGGACUCAAUGUUGGGCCACCAGGCUAUGGAGUGUAUAUGCUCAUCUUUAGCUAAGCUACUAGAGUGGAGGAACCGCGGAGGACUGGAGACACGUGCCGUACGUACGAUUCUCUCGUGUCGACAUUGCAUUGUGUUUCCCUCUUGAAACGACAUGCCAUCCGAUUCCAUCAUCGGACAUCCAUCAUCUCGGUGCAUGCAUCGAUCAUCUCUGGAAGCAAAUAAUGCAUUGCUCCUGUUUUUAUGAAUCUGCAUGCAUGCAUGCAUGCAUGGGCGAUCGACUUUUGUCGCGCGGGUGUACGUAUUUGUAUCGGUGUGUCCCGUGCCGUGACUGAUCGAGAGGGACAGAAGACGACGAUGCUGUCGUUUUAGGCCUUGUUUACUUCCCAAAAAAUUUUAAUUUUUUUUUUCAGAUUCUCCGUCACAUCGAAUCUUUAGACACAUGCAUGAAGUACUAAAUAUAGACAAAAAUAAAAACUAAUUGCACAGUUUAGUCGAAAUUGAUGAGACGAAUCUUUUGAGCCUAGUUAGUCCAUGAUUGGACAAUAUUUGUCAAAUACAAACGAAAGAGCUACUGUGUUAAUUUUGCAAAAUAUUUUGGAACUAAACAAGGCCUUAAUUUGACCCUAGUAGUAAUAUAGCAGGGUGCUUGGUGGGCAGUCCACUUCAAGGAUGCAUACUAGUACAUGGAAUAGGAUAGGCAGGGCAGGCACCUGCAGCUUUGGAUCACCAAAAGGUAACGCUAGCUCCUGAGUGACGUAGUACACUCUCAGGAUAACUUUUUUUAAUUUUUCGUCACAUCGUAUCUUGCGGUAUAUGCAUUGAGCAUUAAAUAUAAAUAAAAAUAAUAACUAAUUACACACAACUCUUUUCAACCUAGUCAGUUCAUAAUUGAAUAACAUUUAUUAAAUACAAAUGAAAGUGCUAUGGUGCUUAUUUUCCCAAACAAUUUAGAACUAAAAAGGCCAAAAACUUUUUGGAUUUUGACACUGUAGCACUUUUUGUUUUUAUUUGACAAACAUUGUCCAAUCAUGGAGUAACUAGGUUUAAAAGAUUCGUCUUGCGAUUUACAGACAAACUGUGUAAUUAGUUUUUAUUUUUAUCUAUAUUUAAUGCUCUAUGCAUGUGCCGCAAGAUUCGAUGUGAUGGGGAAUCUUGUAAAGUUUUUGGUUUUUGGGUGUAUGUAAACAAGGCCAUAUUGGAACCAUUUUGGAGAGUCCGUGCUCUGCCUCAAACACACACUACAGCCCUGAAAAAGCGGACUUUUUACCUCUGGACGUGCUCGCACACAUGCACCGGCACCGGCACCGGACUGUGGUCUGGUCCUUGAAAAUCCCCUGCUGGGCUGGGCGCCCGAGGCAGACAUGGACAUGGACAACACGCGAGCGCGCGGUGGAGGACACGGACAAAGACGACACGAGAGUGGCCGCGAGCGCGACGCGGCGUGGGUGCGUGUACUACGUCACUGUCGGUUUCUCCGCACGGGUGUGUCACCUCCGCGUCUCAUGCAUCCGUCCCAUCUCUUUUGUGGCUGCCUGCCGGGUGCCGGCGCCGUGUCGCCCAACUGCAUGCCCCCGCAACCAACAAGAACAAGCAACGACCCCAACCCAACGACGUCCUUGAUAUCAACUUGUCACGUACUGCUACAAGCUACAGUGAAUCCGUAGUUCUCGGGUGAAAAGUUUUUUUUUUUGAUAAUGUAGCAAUUUCGUUUUUAUUUAGUAAUUAUUAUUUAAUUAUGAACUAACUAGAUUUAAAAUAUUUUAUCUCGUAUAUUAUAGACAAACUGUAUAAUUAAUUAUUUUUUAAUCUAUAUUUAAUGUUUAAUGUAUGUGUCGUAAGAUUCGAUGUGAUAGAUAAUCUUUAAAAGUUUUUAGAUUUCGGGUGUAAUUAAAUAAGAUGCUGAUCAAAUUUUAACUACAGAGAUGAAUGAAUACCAAAGUCAUUCUGCACUUAAUCAGGUACGAAUACAAAAUUUCACACACGCUACACAAAUACACAAAUGCAGAGAGAGAUGUGGUCCCGAUCGAGUCGUGACCAUGCAUGCAUGCAUGCGCUUCUUCAAAUAUAUGCACCGGAGGAGGAUGACUGGAUGAGAACUCCAUAUCACUCCACUCCAUGAGAGCAAUGCAAGGCGCCGAAAGGACCGGCCGGGCCCACGGCCCUUUCGCCGGGGGACAUGGUCCGAUAGAGUAUCAGGGGCCAUGGAAAGAGACGCCCCACCACACAACACAACACGUAUUACAUUACAAGAAAGAUUAGUCUUACUUAAUCGCCCAUGGCCGGCCGCUCUAAUAGUCUCUCUCAAACCAAGCACUCAUUGACACCACAUAACAGAGAGCCGAUCUCCCAUCCUCCCCUUGUCAUCCUUGGCUCGGCUGCGGCUAUAAAUACCACCUCACCCCCACCACACCACCCAAGCCUCACUCUUUCCUUUUCCAUCUGCAACAAAUCCCAACAACAAAGCAACAACCAGAGGAGGAAGCAGGAGACCUACACAUUGUCAAGCUUCCAAGAACAACUUGCUGCAGAGAGAUGGAGAUGUACAUGGAAGACAAGAGCAAGAUGCUGUUCAAGAAAGGGAGCCGGAGGUCGACGGCGACGGCGGCCGAGGGGAGCCCAGCGGCGGCGGCGGCGGGGCUCAAGGCGGGCCGGUCGGUGCCGGGCCGGCUGGCGAGCCUGGUGAAGGAGCAGAGGGCCAGGUUCUACAUCAUGCGCCGCUGCGUCACCAUGCUCGUGUGCUGGAGGGACUAGCACUAGAGCCAUGUGGGCAUCCAGGGCCGUAGGCCCUCUGGCUGGCUGUGCUGUGACUAGGCCCAAUUGGGUCUGGAGUUGUAGCCUGGUAGGUUGUUCAUGUGUCAUACUGACUAGCUUCUCAAAAAAAAAAAAAAGUAACUCUUCUUUCCAGAGACGGGAAAGAGAGAUCAGAGAUGUGCCUGUUCUAUGGCCAUCCUGUGUGCUUCGUAGUGUUUAUUGUAGUGUCAGAAAAUUAGUUUCUGUUCUGGCUAAAUGACAGAACAGCAUCGUUGUAAAAGGCUAAUACACUUCCAAUUCCAGUGAAAAUUACGCUUCCUGCUGCCAUGUUUUCUCCCCCACCUCAUUUCCUGCUUGGUAUCACAAGUCUGAACUCUGGACAAAGGCAAGAUGGUGGCUAAUGUAUAGC